CCUACGGGAGGCAGCAGUGGGGAAUAUUGGACAAUGGGCGGAAGCCUGAUCCAGCAACGCCGCGUGAGGGAUGACGGCCUUCGGGUUGUAAACCUCUUUCGGUAGGGACGAAGCGCAAGUGACGGUACCUACUAAAGAAGCACCGGCCAACUACGUGCCAGCAGCCGCGGUAAU
rnacentral:rRNA from 1 species